rnacentral:lncRNA from 10 species
GGUAUGUGACAUAUGAAUUAAGUGGUCAAAUGUAAAACUAAUGGGGACACCAAGCCUCAGGAAGAACAUCCCAUGUUUCUGUUUAAUUCUCUUAUGUGUUAUACUACCUUCCCUUUCUCUUUCUUAUACACAUAGAUUUUCCUUAAUUGCAGCCCAAGAGGACACUGCCCCAUUUUGUUUUGUUCUUUUGUCAUUGGGACUUAAAGUGGGUGCCUCAAGUCUUUGGUAACAGUUUUAACAGAACACUGACAAUGACUGGAUAUCAGUCAGUGUUGAUCUCCUUCCCAAGCUACUGUCUGAACACUAAGAUCCUUUUUUUUUUCUUUUAAUGAAAGGUAAAAUACAAUUCUGCUCUGUGAUUUAUACUUCUACCAGAUUUGUUUUAUUGACUUUUCAUUAGUCUCUCAAAGAUGAUACACUGUUUUUCUUUGUUAAAUGUUUGGGCCAGUCACGGUGGCUCACGCCUACAAUCCCAGCGCUUUGGGAGGCCAAGGCCAGCGGAUGGCUUGAGGUCAUGAGUUCGAGACCAGCCUCAUAGCAAAACUCUGUGUCUACUAAAAAUACAAAAAUUAGCUGGGCCUCAUAGUGCAGACCUGUAAUCCCAGCUACUCAGGAGGCUGAAGCAGGAGGAUCACUUGAACCUGGGAGAUGGAGGUCUCAGUGAGCUGAGAUUGCGUCACUGCACUCCAGCCUGGGCAACAAAAUGAGACUCCAUCACUGUCAAAAAAAAAAAAAAAAGUUUGUAGGAGGAAUGAUUGUUUCCUAUUGUUGGAAAAAAAGCCAAACGGAGUGAGAAUUUAGAGCAUGAACUUUGAAUGAGUCCUAUAUUGUAGUUUCAGCCUUACCCCUUACCUGUAUGGCCUUAGGCAAGUCACUCUACCUGUCCAAAUCUGUUUCAUCAUCUGUAAAGUAGGGGUGGUAGUAAUAGUUAACUCUCUCUCAAAUGUGAUAAAAAUAUUAAGUGCUUAGAGCAGGGUUCACCCUACUGGUCCUUGGCCUGUUAGGAACCAGGCUGCACAGCAGGAGGUGAGGGGUGGGCAGGUGAGCGAGCAAGCGAAGCUUCAUCUGUAUUUACAGACACUCCCCAUGGCUUGCGUUACUGCUUGAGCUCCAUUAAUCCAGUGGCAGCAUUAGAUUGUCAUAGGAGUGCAAAUCCUGUUGUGCACUGUGCAUGCAAGGAUCUAGGUGGUGCACUCCUUAUGAGAAUCUAAUGCCUGAUGAUCUGUCACUGUCUCCCAUCACCCGUAGAUGGGACUGUCUAGUUGCAGGAAAAAAAGCUCAGGUUUCCCACUGAUUCUGUUAAUACAUUAUGGUGAGUUUUAUAAUUAUUUCAUUAUAUAUUACAAUGUAAUAAUAAUAUAAAGUGCACAAUAAAUGUAAUGUGCUUGAAUUACCCUGAAACCAUACCCCCCAACCCUGUCCAUGGAAAAAUUGUCUUCCACAAAACCCAUCCCUGUUGCCAAAAACACUGGGGACCACUGGCUUAGAGUAUUCAACAAAUGUUAGCCAAACAGUUAGCAACUGAAUUUUCUGACCCUGUCAGACAUGCUCCUGGAAUAUUUGGUGUCUGAAUUAUUGGAGAGUACCAAGUGACCUUGGAAAAGUCACUUGAUCUUUCUGAGUUCCAGUAAAAUGAAGAUAAUACAUAUACCUCCCAGGGUUGUUUGAGGCUAAAAUGAGAUAAUAUGAAAGCAUCUAUUUGAUAAUUUGCUCAACAAAUAAUUAUGGAGUGCAUUCCAUGGGUUAUAACGGUGAACAAAAUAGACAAUGGCCUUGGUAUUCAUGGCAGUAAGGCAGAGCAGGAAUAAAUACUGAUUUUCAAUCAGAGAAGGGGGAGAAGUGCCACAUCGUACAAGUUACAAAUUAGAAUGCAGUUCUCCCUCUGAUGAAGAGAGCAGGUUUUAUUCUCCACAAAAUUAAUGAAGCUCUCUAGUCACCAGGAGUUACAAGAUUAUGUCACUAGUACCAAGACAACUGGUAGUGGUUGAUGACUCACUAUUUAUAAACCCUGAGUAUGAACUUAAGGCUGUCUUUCUGGAGCAUGGGCCUGAGAAUUGCCAGAAUGUGCUGUCUGCCCGUGGUUACCCAUUCUGCUGACUCCGGUGGGAACACAUGUUAAAUGAAUUCUGGAAUGUAUCUCGAGUGAUCAGAGCCCUGGGUGGUAAACCAAAGGCUCUGGGGCACAAGUGUUUUUUGUGUUUUUUUUUUUUGUUUGUUUGUUUGUUUUAAUCCCUUCCAGUUGAAGGUCAUGUCUGGAAGAGGUAUGGGAAAUGAACAGAUGGUUUUAUACAUACUAUCAAAUAAAAGUUAGUUUUUCUG